UCCACUUCCACUCCAGAUAUGACCAGCCAGUAAUGAAUGAAGAAAGUUGCUAUGGCAACAGCAAUACCUCGAUGCAUGUGUGACCGGAGGUCUUCUUCCUCUGUGACGCUGCUUGGCGCAUCACACUCUCUACCAGACAGCUGACGUUCGGUGCUUUUGAGGAGGAUUUGCUCCGCCGGAGGCUCCCUGGUCUUGCAGUGUUGCAACUAUUGGUGAGUUGCCGUUGUCUGCCGUUUUCUCACCUUCAGCUUGGUUCCUCUGGUGUAUUGACUGUCAUUCAUGUCACAGUGGGAUUGUUGAGUCUCUCUCUCCCUUCCUUGUGGGCUCUGUGGCUGCGAGUGGCCACACAGGCUGGGGUGCUGUAAACAUUCUCCCUUCUUGGUGGGCUUUCGCACCGAGCUGUGGUGUCAUAAAAUUGACCGGCCCUGACUACUCCGUGUUGGACUGUCACCAGGGCCGUUUUGAGAUCACGGAAUAGCAAGGACACUUAUUGUUUUAGUUGAUUCAUUUUGAUUAUCUGUUUGUUUUGUGCAUCUAAUGUUUUGAGUACAUUUAUAGUAUUUUGUUAAUUGUGUGAUUUUGUU